UUUUCGGUUGGGGAUGGGCUCGCGGCCUAUCGGUUUGUUGGUGAGGUAAUGGCUCACCAAGACGACGACGGGUAGCCGGCCUGAGAGGGCGACCGGCCACACUGGGACUGAGACACGGCCCAGACUCCUACGGGAGGCAGCAGUGGGGAAUAUUGCACAAUGGGGGAAACCCUGAUGCAGCGACGCAGCGUGCGGGAUGACGGCCUUCGGGUUGUAAACCGCUUUCAGCAGGGAAGAAGCCUUUCGGGGUGACGGUACCUGCAGAAGAAGUACCGGCUAGCUACGUGCCAGCAGCCGCGGUAAUACGUAGGGUACAAGCGUUGUCCGGAAUUAUUGGGCGUAAAGAGCUCGUAGGUGGUUGGUCACGUCUGCUGUGGAAACGCAACGCUUAACGUUGCGCGUGCAGUGGGUACGGGCUGACUAGAGUGCAGUAGGGGAGUCUGGAAUUCCUGGUGUAGCGGUGAAAUGCGCAGAUAUCAGGAGGAACACCGGUGGCGAAGGCGGGACUCUGGGCUGUAACUGACACUGAGGAGCGAAAGCAUGGGGAGCGAACAGGAUUAGAUACCCUGGUAGUCCAUGCCGUAAACGUUGGGCACUAGGUGUGGGGGACAUUCCACGUUCUCCGCGCCGUAGCUAACGCAUUAAGUGCCCCGCCUGGGGAGUACGGUCGCAAGGCUAAAACUCAAAGGAAUUGACGGGGGCCCGCACAAGCGGCGGAGCAUGCGGAUUAAUUCGAUGCAACGCGAAGAACCUUACCAAGGCUUGACAUACACCAGACCGUUCUGGAAACAGUUCCUCCCCUUUGGGGUUGGUGUACAGGUGGUGCAUGGUUGUCGUCAGCUCGUGUCGUGAGAUGUUGGGUUAAGUCCCGCAACGAGCGCAACCCUCGUUCUAUGUUGCCAGCACGUAAUGGUGGGAACUCAUAGGAGACUGCCGGGGUCAACUCGGAGGAAGGUGGGGAUGACGUCAAAUCAUCAUGCCCUUUAUGUCUUGGGCUUCACGCAUGCUACAAUGGCUGGUACAGAGAGAUGCGAGACCGCGAGGUUUUAGCGAAUCCCUUAAAGCCAGUCUCAGUUCGGAUCGUAGUCUGCAAUUCGACUACGUGAAGUCGGAGUCGCUAGUAAUCGCAGAUCAG
rnacentral:rRNA from 1 species